rnacentral:rRNA from 1 species
AGCUCUCCGAGUGGUGUGGAUGUUUAUUGGGCCUAAAGCAUCCGUAGCUGGCUAGGUUAGUCCCCUGUUAAAUCCACCGAAUUAAUCGUUGGAUUGCGGGGGAUACUGCUUGGCUAGGGGACGAGAGAGGCAGACGGUAUUUCCGGGGUAGGGGUGAAAUCCUAUAAUCCCGGGAAGACCACCAGUGGCGAAGGCUGUCUGCUAGAACGCGCCCGACGGUGAGGGAUGAAAGCUGGGGGAGCGAACC